UCCCAGCAUGCAUCAGUCAAUAAGUGGUUCCAAGAAUUACUCAAACAGCAAAUGUUUUAAUCAGCUGUUACUAUGGUAACCCAGGGGAAAGGUGUCAAGAUGUUUUAUGACUCCAUAGCAAUGCAACCUGUAACAAGUCCAUCAGUGGUUCAUCAUAAAAAACUACAGUCAAAAGAAUAGUCAGUGAAGACACAGAGGUUCAAUCAAAUGAGAAAUGUACUGUGGCUAGUCCAUCAGAGGUUGCUAUGGCAACAGAUGCAUAGUAUAAUGGUUGCAAGUCAGCUCCAUUGCCGUAUAGACCCAGCCAUCCAAUAUGUCUAGUUGAAAAUCAAGAAAAUAUUCUUAUUACAAAUGCAUUGCCUUACGUUAAUAAUGUACCACAUCUUGGUAAUAUUAUAGGAUGUGUCCUCAGUGCUGAUGCAUUUGCAAGGUAUUGUCGAUUAUGAAAUCGCAAUCCACUCUGUAUAUGUGGGACUGAUGAGUAUGGAACUGCAACUGAAACCAAGGCAC